rnacentral:rRNA from 1 species
GAUGAACGCUGGCGGCGUGCCUAAUACAUGCAAGUCGAGCGAACGGACGAGAAGCUUGCUUCUCUGAUGUUAGCGGCGGACGGGUGAGUAACACGUGGAUAACCUACCUAUAAGACUGGGAUAACUUCGGGAAACCGGAGCUAAUACCGGAUAAUAUUUUGAACCGCAUGGUUCAAAAGUGAAAGACGGUCUUGCUGUCACUUAUAGAUGGAUCCGCGCUGCAUUAGCUAGUUGGUAAGGUAACGGCUUACCAAGGCAACGAUGCAUAGCCGACCUGAGAGGGUGAUCGGCCACACUGGAACUGAGACACGGUCCAGACUCCUACGGGAGGCAGCAGUAGGGAAUCUUCCGCAAUGGGCGAAAGCCUGACGGAGCAACGCCGCGUGAGUGAUGAAGGUCUUCGGAUCGUAAAACUCUGUUAUUAGGGAAGAACAUAUGUGUAAGUAACUGUGCACAUCUUGACGGUACCUAAUCAGAAAGCCACGGCUAACUACGUGCCAGCAGCCGCGGUAAUACGUAGGUGGCAAGCGUUAUCCGGAAUUAUUGGGCGUAAAGCGCGCGUAGGCGGUUUUUUAAGUCUGAUGUGAAAGCCCACGGCUCAACCGUGGAGGGUCAUUGGAAACUGGAAAACUUGAGUGCAGAAGAGGAAAGUGGAAUUCCAUGUGUAGCGGUGAAAUGCGCAGAGAUAUGGAGGAACACCAGUGGCGAAGGCGACUUUCUGGUCUGUAACUGACGCUGAUGUGCGAAAGCGUGGGGAUCAAACAGGAUUAGAUACCCUGGUAGUCCACGCCGUAAACGAUGAGUGCUAAGUGUUAGGGGGUUUCCGCCCCUUAGUGCUGCAGCUAACGCAUUAAGCACUCCGCCUGGGGAGUACGACCGCAAGGUUGAAACUCAAAGGAAUUGACGGGGACCCGCACAAGCGGUGGAGCAUGUGGUUUAAUUCGAAGCAACGCGAAGAACCUUACCAAAUCUUGACAUCCUUUGACAACUCUAGAGAUAGAGCUUUCCCCUUCGGGGGACAAAGUGACAGGUGGUGCAUGGUUGUCGUCAGCUCGUGUCGUGAGAUGUUGGGUUAAGUCCCGCAACGAGCGCAACCCUUAAGCUUAGUUGCCAUCAUUAAGUUGGGCACUCUAAGUUGACUGCCGGUGACAAACCGGAGGAAGGUGGGGAUGACGUCAAAUCAUCAUGCCCCUUAUGAUUUGGGCUACACACGUGCUACGAUGGACAAUACAAAGGGCAGCGAAACCGUGAGGUCAAGCAAAUCCCAUAAAGUUGUUCUCAGUUCGGAUUGUAGUCUGCAACUCGACUACAUGAAGCUGGAAUCGCUAGUAAUCGUAGAUCAGCAUGCUACGGUGAAUACGUUCCCGGGUCU